rnacentral:rRNA from 1 species
UACGGAGGGGGCUAGCGUUGUUCGGAAUUACUGGGCGUAAAGCGCGCGUAGGCGGACCUGCAAGUCGGGGGUGAAAGCCCGAGGCUCAACCUCGGAACUGCCUUCGAUACUGCGGGUCUCGAGUCCGGGAGGAGGUGAGUGGAAUUCCUAGUGUAGAGGUGAAAUUCGUAGAUAUUAGGAAGAACACCAGUGGCGAAGGCGGCUCACUGGCCCGGUACUGACGCUGAGGCGCGAAAGCCGUGGGGAGCAAACAGGG